rnacentral:rRNA from 1 species
AUACGUAGGUGGCAAGCGUUGUCCGGAUUUACUGGGUGUAAAGGGCGUGCAGCCGGGGAAGCAAGUCAGGUGUGAAAUGCAGAGGCUUAACCUCUGAAUUGCAUUUGAAACUGUUUUUCUUGAGUACUGGAGGGGCAAUCGGAAUUCCUAGUGUAGCGGUGAAAUGCGUAGAUAUUAGGAGGAACACCAGUGGCGAAGGCGGAUUGCUGGACAACAACUGACGGUGAGGCGCGAAAGUGUGGGGAGCAAACAGGAUUAGAUACCCUGGUAGUCCACGCUGUAAACGAUGAUUACUAGGUGUGGGGGGACUGACCCCUUCCGUGCCGCAGUUAACACAAUAAGUAAUCCACCUGGGGAGUACGGCCGCAAGGUUGAAACUCAAAUGAAUUGACGGGG